GCUGAAGAUUACUGGUUCUUCGAGUCUCAACAUCGCUAUAUCGUUUAUAAAUCCAUUGUCGAUGUAAUCAGGAUGCAGAGAUAUGUGAUCCAAACGUAAUACUUGCUCGUACGGACUUGGAAAGCUUCCUCUGCGAGUAGCUCCGAUUCUCGCCACCCAAUAUUCGUCUUGAGCACUACGACAGAUGUUGAAAUAGUUAGAUACUUGAUUGUUAUUUUUCAAUUUUUAAAUUCUGUCUUCUUUUCUGACACUAGUCUUUUAGGAACUAAUAUGAUAUAUGAAUAUUUUAUUUUCAGAUUAAAGAGAGAAAAGUUUUAAUACUGAUGAACGAUAAUGAAAGAUUCUUCUCUAUUGAUAUUCUCUAAUAAAAGUUGUACGAGAAGAUACAUAUUCGAAGCAACUUGCCAUGGCCAACUUCCAGCUGAAGAGCUACCACCGCCAACUAUCCUGGAACGUCGUGAAACAUUCGACCUAUUUCAAUGUAUACAUCUUAAACGAGUAUGGACAUUCAGUAGCUUUUAUUGCAAUUUGUGUUUUAAAACUACAAAACACGUUUAUAUAUUUUUUCUCAA